rnacentral:rRNA from 1 species
GACGAACGCUGGCGGCGUGCUUAACACAUGCAAGUCGAACGGUAAGGCCCUUCGGGGUACACGAGUGGCGAACGGGUGAGUAACACGUGGGUGAUCUACCCUGCACUUCGGGAUAAGCCUGGGAAACUGGGUCUAAUACCGGAUAGGACCACUGCCUGCAUGGGUGGUGGUGGCAAGCUUUUGCGGUGUGGGAUGGGCCCGCGGCCUAUCAGCUUGUUGGUGGGGUGAUGGCCUACCAAGGCGACGACGGGUAGCCGGCCUGAGAGGGUGACCGGCCACACUGGGACUGAGAUACGGCCCAGACUCCUACGGGAGGCAGCAGUGGGGAAUAUUGCACAAUGGGCGCAAGCCUGAUGCAGCGACGCCGCGUGAGGGAUGACGGCCUUCGGGUUGUAAACCUCUUUCAGCACCGACGAAGCGCAAGUGACGGUAGGUGCAGAAGAAGGACCGGCCAACUACGUGCCAGCCGCCGCGGUAA